CGUAGGGUGCAAGCGUUAAUCGGAAUUACUGGGCGUAAAGGGUGCGCAGGCGGCGUCGCAAGUCAGGCGUGAAAUCCCCGGGCUUAACCUGGGAAUGGCGCUUGAAACUACGAUGCUGGAGUAUGGCAGAGGGAGGUGGAAUUCCACGUGUAGCGGUGAAAUGCGUAGAGAUGUGGAGGAACACCGAUGGCGAAGGCAGCCUCCUGGGCCAAUACUGACGCUCAUGCACGAAAGCGUGGGGAGCAAACAGGAUUAGAUACCCUGGUAGUCCACGCCCUAAACGAUGAUGACUAGUUGUUGGAGGAGUUAAAUCCUUUAGUAACGCAGCUAACGCGCGAAGUCAUCCGCCUGGGGAGUACGGUCGCAAGAUUA
rnacentral:rRNA from 1 species